UAGGGAAUCUUCCACAAUGGACGCAAGUCUGAUGGAGCAACGCCGCGUGAGUGAAGAAGGGUUUCGGCUCGUAAAGCUCUGUUGUUAAAGAAGAACGUGGGUGAGAGUAACUGUUCACCCAGUGACGGUAUUUAACCAGAAAGCCACGGCUAACUAUGUGUCAG
rnacentral:rRNA from 1 species